UUUUUUUGAUGGAUUGGCUUCAAAGCUAGGAUAAGCCAGGAUAUUUUUUAUAUAACUUCCAUUGUGUCCGACUGAAGAAAUUAAGUCAUGCACACCUACGAUGGCAUUAAGAUGGGGUCACUGCCAUUGUUCCAGGAAAUAUGGAAAGGGCGAGAGAAGCCAAUGUGUUUUAUCUGACAUCAUGACCUGACUGGCUUUGGAGAGGGCCAGAGACCUGGCCAUUCCAGCUGUGCACCGACCCAUAACUGAACCCUCUGGGCUGCUUUUCUGCAUGACCACCAACACAUUUCUCUCACAUCAACCCGGGGCACUCUGACUGCAACAACAACACAGUACAACACAGCCCUACACACAAACCUGAGACCUGUCCAGAUCAUGUGUGGAAACACUGUCCACAUUACUCCCAGCUCUUAUAUAAAAACAGCUAUUCCAUUUCAGUA